rnacentral:rRNA from 1 species
CCUACGGGAGGCGGCAGUGGGGAAUAUUGGACAAUGGGCGAAAGCCUGAUCCAGCAAUGCCGCGUGAGUGAUGAAGGCCUUAGGGUUGUAAAGCUCUUUUACCCGAGAUGAUAAUGACAGUAUCGGGAGAAUAAGCUCCGGCUAACUCCGUGCCAGCAGCCGCGGUAAUACGGAGGGAGCUAGCGUUGUUCGGAAUUACUGGGCGUAAAGCGCACGUAGGCGGCGAUCUAAGUCAGAGGUGAAAGCCCGGGGCUCAACCCCGGAAUUGCCUUUGAGACUGGAUUGCUUGAAUCCAGGAGAGGUGAGUGGAAUUCCGAGUGUAGAGGUGAAAUUCGUAGAUAUUCGGAAGAACACCAGUGGCGAAGGCGGCUCACUGGACUGGUAUUGACGCUGAGGUGCGAAAGCGUGAGGAGCAAACAGGAUUAGAUACCCUGGUAGUCCACGCCGUAAACGAUGAUAACUAGCUGUCUGGGUGCAUGGUCGACGUUAGGUUGGUCGGCGAGCUAACGACAUUAAGUUAGUCCGCCGUCGGGGUAGGUACGGUCGGCGAAGUAAGUUAAAACGUUAAAGUUAGUUAAGUUAGUUACGGCGUGAGACGUUGCCGACGGACGACGACGAGGGGAGGUUAGG